GGUUCCUGCUGGAUGCAUAGGUAGCCAGGUCAGGGGUCAAGAGCGGAACACCCUCACUGGCCCGGGCCGGCGCGGGAGGGCUGUGUGAUGGCCUCGGAGCGCCCCGAGCCGGAGGUGGAAGAAGCUGGGCAGGUGUUCCUGUUAAUGAAAAAGGAUUAUCGAAUCUCCCGAAAUGUUCGCCUGGCUUGGUUCCUCAGUCAUCUGCACCAAACUGUGCAGGCCACACCCCAGGAGAUGCUGCUUCAGUCUGAACAGGAAUUGGAAGUCCUCAGUGUCCUGCCCCCUGGGUGGCAGCCAGAUGAACCAGUGGUCCCAAGGCCAUUCCUCCUUGUACCUUCCACCCGGGUCACCUUCCUGGCUUGGCAGUAUCGGUUUGUCAUUGAGCUGGACCUUAGCCCAUCUACUGGCAUUGUGGAUGAUUCCACAGGGGAGAUCUUGUUUGAUGAAGUUUUCCAUGCCCUGUCCCGCUGCCUAGGCGGGCUGCUUCGGCCCUUCCGAGUGCCUGGAUCUUGCAUCGACUUCCAGCCUGAGAUCUACGUAACUAUCCAGGCCUACUCCUCCAUCAUUGGACUGCAGUCCCACCAGGUGCUGGUACAGGGCUGCCUCUUGGACCCUUCCCAGCGGGAGGUGUUCCUGCAGCAGAUAUAUGAGCAGCUCUGCCUCUUUGAGGAUAAGGUGGCCACCAUGCUGCAGCAGCAGUACGAUCCCCAGAGCCAGGCAGAAGACCAGUCCCCAGAGUCAGGGGACCUACUGGGCCGGAAGGUAGGCGUCUCCAUGGUGACAGCUGAUCUUGGCCUGGUCAGUAUGAUUCGUCAGGGCAUCUUGGCGCUGCAGUUAUUACCCUCAAACUCUAGUGCAGGGAUUAUCGUGAUCACGGAUGGGGUGACCAGUGUACCUGAUGUUGCUGUCUGUGAGACGCUGCUGAACCAGCUUCGCAGUGGCACUGUGGCUUGUUCCUUUGUCCAGGUGGGAGGAGUUUACUCUUACGACUGCAGUUUUGGCCAUGUGCCCAAUGUGGAAUUAAUGAAGUUCAUCGCAAUGGCAACAUUUGGGUCCUACCUGUCCACUUGUCCUGAGCCAGAGCCAGGCAACCUGGGUCUGACUGUCUACCACCGGGCAUUUCUCCUCUAUUCCUUCCUGCGCAGUGGGGAAGCACUGAACCCUGAAUAUUACUGCGGCUCUCAGCACCGCCUAUUUAAUGAGCACCUGGUCUCUGCAAGCAGCAACCCUGCCCUGGCCUUGCGCCGGAAGAAGCACACUGAAAAGGAGGUGCCAGCCGACUUGGUCAGCACCGUGUCGGUGCGGCUUCGAGAGGGCUACAGUGUCCGAGAGGUCACACUGGCCAAAGGAGGGUCCCAAUUGGAGGUAAAGCUGGUGCUGCUGUGGAAACACAACAUGCGCAUUGAGUAUGUGGCUAUGGCACCCUGGCCCCUGGAACCUGAGGGCCCUCGAGUAACACGGGUGGAAGUGACGAUGGAAGGCGGCUACGACAUUUUGCAUGAUGUGUCCUGUGCACUAAGGCAGCCCAUUCGUUCAUUGUAUCGUACCCAUGUUAUCCGGCGUUUCUGGAACACGCUGCAGAGCAUCAACCAGACAGACCAGAUGCUUGCCCACCUUCAGUCCUUCUCCUCAGUGCCUGAGCAUUUCACGCUUCCUGACAGCACCAAGAGCGGAGUGCCACUCUUCUACAUCCCUCCAGGCUCCACCACCCCGGUGCUCUCCCUCCAGCCCAGUGGUUCUGACUCAUCCCAUGCCCAGUUUGCUGCCUACUGGAAGCCAGUGCUGUCCAUGGAUGCAAAUUCCUGGCAGCGAUGGCUGCACAUGCAUCGCCUGGUGCUAAUCCUGGAGCAUGACACACCAAUCCCCAAGCACUUGCACACCCCGGGCAGCAAUGGGCGCUACAGCACUAUCCAGUGCAGGAUCUCCCACUCCUCCCUGACCUCUCUGCUGCGGGACUGGAGCAGCUUCGUACUAGUUGAGGGCUAUUCUUAUGUCAAGCUGCUCUCCAGUGCCCCAGACCAGCCCCCCAAUUCCUUCUACAUGGUCCGUAUCAUUUCCAAGGCCCCAUGCAUGGUUCUUCGCCUGGGUUUUCCCAUUGGCACACCAGCACCGGCCCGGCACAAGAUUGUGUCAGGCUUGAGGGAAGAGAUCCUGCGGCUGCGUUUCCCCCACCGGGUACAAAGCAAGGAGCCAACGCCCAAGGUGAAACGAAAAGGGCUAGGGGGCGCUGGUGGGGGCGGCUCUCCCUCCAAGUCACCCCCCGUGCUGGGGCCACAGCAGGCCCUGUCUGACCGGCCCUGCCUUGUGGUCCUGCAUAAGCCACUGGACAAACUGCUUAUCAGGUAUGAGAAGCUACCCUUGGACUACCGGGCACCCUUCUUGCUGACACUGGAGCCACCAGGUCCACUGCCCUUGGUGUCAGGCCGCUCAGCCUCUUCUAGCCUGGCGUCACUGUCCCGCUACCUCUACCAUCAGCGCUGGCUUUGGAGUGUCCCGUCAGGACUGGCCCCUGCGCUGCCUCUCAGCGCCAUUGCCCAGCUCCUCUCCAUCCUCACUGAAGUCCGACUUUCUGAAGGAUUCCACUUUGCCUGCAGUGGAGAAGGAAUCAUCAACAUGGUUCUGGAGCUUCCAAUUCAGAAUGAACCACCAGGGCAGGCUGCAGCUGAAGAGAAGCACACCUGUGUUGUCCAGUACAUCCUCUUCCCCCCACACUCUACCUCCACCAAAGACAGCUUCUCGACAGAUGAUGACAAUGAUGUGGAAGUAGAGGCCCUGGAGGGAGACUCGGAGCUCAAUCUGGUCACUGAGGUGUGGGUGGAGCCACAGUAUGGGCGAGUGGGACCUGGCCCUGGAAGCUGGAAGCACCUCCAGGACCUGACGUAUUCUGAGAUCCCGCAAGCUCUCCACCCACGGGAUGCUGCCUGCAUAGGCUCCAUGCUGAGCUUUGAAUACCUGAUACAGCUGUGCCAGAGCAAGGAAUGGGGUCCUCUGCCCCCAGAGCCGAGGGUCUCUGAUGGAUUGGAUCAGGGAGGAGACACCUGCGUCCAUGAGAUCCCUUUCCAUUUUGACCUAAUGGGAUUGCUGCCACAGUGCCAGCAGCUCCAGAUGUUCUUCCUCUUGCUUGCCAGAGAGCCAGAGGGUGUCCCUUUCGCCGAGGGGUCCUGUCCCGCCAACGACAUGGUGCUGUGCCUGCUGCACAGCUGCCUGGGGCAGGAGCUGAGUGACCGGGAGAUCCCACUGACCCCCGUUGACCAGGCUGCCUUCUUGAAUGAGGUGCUGCGGCGGACCUGCCACGUUCCAGGUGCCGAGGGGCUACUGCUGGGGGUUCAUGGGAUCCCGAAGGAGCAAGCAGUCGGCAGCACCCAGGCCACAGGAGACUCCGCUUUUACUUCCCUGAGUGUAGGUCUUCCUGAAACUCUCAAGCCUCUCAUCUCUGCCCAGCCCCCUCAGUGGCGCUGCUAUGCAAGGCUUGUGAACCCCCAGCAUGUGUUUCUGACUUUUCUCCCAGCUACCUUCUCAGAUGUCCAGCGUCUGGCUGCCUGUGGCCUGGAGGGACCCCCUCAAGAGGAGACAAAGCCUAAGUUUGGGGAUUGGAGUGGGGCUCCCAGUCUGAAAGAUCUAGGAGGAACUGGGGUCAAAGCUACAAAGUCCCAAGUCCCUGUCCUCAGUGUGACCCUGGCUAGUGACAAUGCCCAGAAUCAAGGAGAGCUAAGCCCACCCUUCCGUCGAGACUUACAGGCUUACGCUGGGCGUCAGGCUUCCCAGACAGAGAGUGCAGAUGGGCCCCGGAGCCGGUGUCCUGUCUACAUCUACAGCUGUUCACUGGAAGCGCUGAGGGAACAAAUGGUUGGCAUGCAGCCCCCUCAGGCGCCCCGAGACCUCAUCUUCCGGACUCAGUUCCUCGACCACCCCUCCCCGUCCUCAGCCUGGAUGGAACCCCGGUACAAGGAGGCAGCUAACCACUGUGCCCUGCUGCAGGAGCAUGCACAGCGAUGCUAUGUCCGUGGGCUAUUCCGCAGCUUGCAGCAAGCACAGAGUGUGACCUCCCAGGAUUUGCUGACAGCAGUAGAUGCCUGUGAGGAGCUACUACAAGAAAUAGACAUCACCCCAUUUCUUCUUGCAUUGUGUGGCCACACUUGGGGUUUGCCUCAUGCACCCCCAAGUCCUGGGCCUCUCAGCCCUGGGCCCUUCAGCAGCAGCAUGGAGGAGGGUGCUGAGCCUCGGGAACGAGCUAUCCUAGCUUCUGAAUCCAGCAUAGAGACCGAGGACCUAAGCGAGCCUGAGUUUCAGAGCACCCGUGUCCCUGGCAUUCCAGACCCUGGGCCAGAGAUCUCUCUGACAGAUGUCUGCCAGCUCAGAGGAGAGGCCCAUGGUGCCCUUCAUAGCAUCAUCCAGGAGAAGUUCCUAGAGAUCAGUCGUCUCCACUUCCGCACAGUGCCUUCCAAUCCCCACUACUUCUUCUAUUGCCCUCCAUCCAGCAGGCGAGAAGAUGAGGGGCCUCGGGACACAGUGGACAGAAAAAUCAGUGACCUGGAGUUUUCAGAGGCUGAGCUUAUGGGAGAAGAAGGUGUGUGGGCAAGAGACACAUCUGCCUGCUGUGUGGUCACUGAGAGUGACCCAGAGCUAGAGGUAGAAUACCGGGAGAGCCGUGAAUCAGACCUGGGGCCUGCUGGGCUAGACUCUGCCUCGCUGUCAGACGUAGACACUGUGAAUCCUGACGAAGACUCCUUCAGUAUCUUGGGGGGUGACUCACCCACUGGGCCUGAGAGCUUCCUUCAUGACCUGCCACCGCUCUUCCUGCACCUCACGUGCUCCGUGCGGCUACGUGGGCAGCACAGCUCAGUACCUGUGUGCAGCCUGCCUACCUGCCUGGGCCAGGUGCUUUCCAGUCUGGAGGGCCCCCCAGUUGGAGGCCGAGUUCCCUUGAGGGACCUCAGUGUGACUCUGGAUGUCUUCAUGCUGACUUUGCCCCUGGAAGUGGAGCUCCCCACGGCCUCAGACCCUCAGCACCACCGGUCAACAUCUGAAAGCAGUGCUUCAUUCCCACGAUCCCCAGGACAGCCAUCAUCUUUAAGGUCAGAUGAUGGCCUCGGGCCCCCACUGCCACCCCCAGAAGAAGAGAGGCACCCAGGACUAUCCAAUUUGGCCACACCCCACAGACUGGCUAUUGAGACCACCAUGAAUGAGAUCCGCUGGUUGUUGGAAGAUGAGAUGGUGGGGGCACUCCGAAGAGGGGGCAUCCCACAGAGCCCUGCCCUGCACCGCGCAGCUGCCCAUAUCCAUAGCUCUCCUGGACGCUCCACCUGCCUUCGCCAAACUCUGCCACUGAGUUUUGUAUUUGGGCCAGAGCGUUCCCUCACACAAUUCAAGGAGGAGUUCCGCCGCUUCCAUCUCCCUGGCCAUGUUCUUCUUGAAGACCCUGACAGUGGCUUCUUCUUUGUGGCAGCUGGCCAACAGCCAGGUGGGUCCCAUGGGGAGCCUUCUUCAGCGGCCUGGGCUUGGCACACUCAUGAGGACAGGGCUGAAGGCAUCGAAGGGGAGACCCUGACAGCCAGCCCCCAAGCACCUGGGUCCCCAGAGGAUUCGGAGGGUGUCCCCCUCAUCAGCCUGCCCAGCAUGCCACAGGGAGGGAGUCAGCCUGGGCCCAGCCGGGGACUAAGUCUCAUGUCCAGUCAGGGCAGUGUGGACUCAGACCACCUAGGUUAUGAUGGUGGCAGCAGUGGCUCAGACAGUGAGGGUCCCAAUGACACCCUUGGUGAGAAGGCCCCCUUCACAUUGCGGACUCCACCUGGGCCAGCACCUCCACAGCCUUCACUCUCAGGCCUCCCUGGGCCCUGCCUGCCUGACUUCUGGCUCAUUGUCCGGGUCCUGCAGGACCGUGUGGAAGUGUAUGCACAUGCACGGAGCCUGAUUCGGGAGGAUGGGGGGCCGGGCACUGAGUGUCGCCACCUACAGCAGCUCCUGGUGAGGCGAGUUGGGGAGAUCUGCAGGGAGGUCAACCAGCGACUGCUUCUUCAAGACCUUCAUGACAGCCACGUGUGUAACUCUCUUCUGGUGGCCGAGAGUGAAGAAGAUCUGUGGCGCAGCGAGACUCCCUUCCACUCCCGUCAGCGGGCACCACUGUCCAGUGAUGAUUAUGCUGCUGAUGAGAGCUGUGCGCCCCGAGGGUACCUGGCAGCCACAAUGCAGUUUGUCCCUGGCCAUUUCUCCUGUGACGUUGUGUGGGGAACUGUGAUCCGAGUCCAUUCACGCCUCAAAAUGGGGCCCAGCAUGGGGGUCUCUCGGGCCAUCCAGGCCCUGCGCUCUGUGCUCAAUGCCUUCUCUGUGGUGAACCGGAAAAACAUGUUUGUUUACCAGGAGCGAGCAACGAAGGCUGUGUACUAUCUUCGGCUCCUAGAGACAUCCUGCAGUGACCGGCCAUGGAAAGGGGAUGCGCUGCCCCCUUCCCUCGCUCUGUCCCGAAGCCAAGAGCCCAUCUACUCUGAGGAAGCCUCGGGUCCUCGUUCUCCCUUAGACAUGGCCUCUAGCCGCAGUUCAGAUGCUGCUCGUCCUGUGGGCCAAGUGGACAGACAUAUCCAGCUGCUGGUCCAUGGUGUUGGGCAGGCAGGUCCUGAGAUCACGGAUGAGCUCGUGCGAGUUCUGUGUCGGCGCCUGGAUGAGGCCACGCUGGACGUCAUCACAGUUAUGCUUGUUCGGAACUGCAAGCUGACACCAGCUGAUGUGGAGUUCAUCCAGCCCCCUGGAAGUCUCCCCUCAGAGGUGCUGCAUCUGGCCCUACCCACCUCCUGCAGGCCCUGGCUUCCAGCCCUGGCGUGGUACCUACGGCAGAACUUGCUCAUCUUCCUGCACUCUCCCAAGUACACAGAUAGCAACAGCCGGAACCACUUCCAACAUCCACUCCCACCACAGGGUGGCCUCCCUGACUUGGACAUCUACUUGUAUAACAAGCCUGGUGGACAGGGCACUGGGGGCAAAGGGGUUGCCUGCAUCACUCUAGCCUUUGUGGAUGAAGGAGGGGCCCCCUUGUCACUGGCGUUGUGGCCCCCCUCCUCUCCGGGGCCCCCAGACCCACUGCGAGAGGAGGAAUUUGAGCAACUGACCCAGGUCAUCCGCUGCCCGGUGGUUCUGGACAGUUCUUCAGCUCAGAAUGGGGCCCCACGGCUUCGACUGGAUGUGUGGGAAAAGGGGAACAUUAGUAUUGUGCAGCUGGAGGAGAAACUCCGAGGAGCAGCUCGCCAGGCCCUGGCCGAUGCCAUCAUCGAGCUUCAGCUGCUGCCAGCUUCACUAUGUACAGAGGACACACCCACAGGAAGUCUCAGGAACGGAUCGUUGGAAACUAAGAGCUCUGCAGGCCGAGCUAGCACCUUUCCCCCUGCCCCUGUCCCUGGGGAGCCUGUGACUCCACCCAGCAAAGCGGGCCGGCGUAGCUUCUGGGAUAUGCUGAGUAAAACAGAAUGUGGGGAUUUGGGUUCCCCCAAAACAACUGACGACAUUGUCCUGGAUCGGCCAGAAGACACUCGGGGCCGGAGGCGUCACAAAACUGAGAGUGUUCGGACUCCUGGUGGAGCUGAGCGGGCACCAGGGUCAGAUUCUGGAGCCCAGAGACAAAGACGCCGGACAACACAGCUAGAAGAGGGUGAGGUGGGGACCCUUCAUCCUGUGUUUGCCCGUGUUGCUCAGCGCUGGAUGGAGUUUAUGGUUCAGAUUGGUUGUGCCUCAGUGUCCAGAAGCUCUGCCCACAUGGUGUCCCGGUUCCUCCUUCCAUCCAUCCUGUCUGAGUUCACCGCACUGGUCACCUCAAUGGCUGGAGACACCAGUGUCCGCAUCUUUGAGCAGCAUUUGGGUUCAGAGCCAGAGAUCUUCGGCCCUUGUUCCCCUGGGCAACUGGGCCCCUCUCCCCGCCCCGCAGCUGAGCGGCGUCUGCUGCUUCUGGGAAGGAACUUCUUGCAGUGGAGGAGACCAACACAGCAGGCUGCCAAAGCCAUGCAGCGCUUCGAGCCAGGAGGUGAUGGGAGCUCAGGGCGAAAUGCUCCCCGGCAGAGGCUCUUGCUACUAGAGGUUGUGGACAAGAAGCUACAGCUGCUUACCUACAACUGGGCUCCAGACCUGGGGGCAGCAUUGGGCCGAGCGCUGGUUCGCCUGGUGCAGUGGCAGAAUGCACGAGCCCAUCUCAUCUUCUGCCUACUCAGCCAGAAGCUUGGACUCUUCCAUCAUUAUGGCCAGUUGGACUUCCCCGUGCGAGAUGAAAAGGAGCCAAACCCAUUCCUGCUGCCGACCAUGGAAGUGGAGACCCUCAUCAGGAGUGCAAGUCCCCCGCUGAGCCGUGAGCAGGGCCGGCUGAGUGGGUCCUCUCGUGGUGGGGGUCCUCUUCCCCUGGACACAUUCCCCUUUGACGAGGCCCUAAGGGAUAUCACGGCUGCCCGCCCCAGCUCCAUACUUGGUCCUGUGCCCAGACCUCCUGAUCCUGUCACCUACCAUGGACAACAGUUCCUAGAGAUCAAGAUGGCAGAGCGCAGAGAGUUGGAGCGCCAGAUGAAGAUGGAAAACCUGUUUGUAACCUGGCAGCAGCGUUCUACUCCAGCCACCAUGCCCAUCAGUGCUGGAGAGCUGGAGACCCUGAAGCAGUCAUCCCGCCUGGUGCAUUACUGUGCAACAGCCAUGCUCUUUGACCCAGCUGCCUGGCUGCAUGGGCCCCCAGAGACCUCUGGACCCCCUGACGGGCAGCGGCGCCAUCGCCCUGAGUCAGGGUCUGGGAGCCGAGAGGCCUCCACAAGCUGUGAAUCCUUGGAUGUGUCGCCUCCGGGAGCCCGUGAGGAGCCUUGGCUGAAGGAGCUGAGCUUGGCUUUCCUGCAGCAAUAUGUGCAGUAUCUGCAGAGCAUAGGUUUUGUGCUGGUACCACUGCGGCCCCCCUCACCCGCCCGCAGCACCAGCCGGCCACGGGCCAUGGCUAUCCUUGGAACAGAGGGUCGAGGCUCCUUCUCCUGCCCUAAAACCAAGACUGAUGGGAGCCCCAAGAGCACUAGCUCUCCAGUAACCACCUACCACCUGCAGCGGGCACUGCCUGGGGGCAUCAUCCUCAUGGAACUGGCAUUCCAGGGCUGUUACUUCUGUGUCAAACAGUUUGCCCUGGAAUGUUCCCGAAUCCCAAUGGGGCAGGCUGUCAACUCACAGCUGUCCAUGCUGUUCACAGAGGAGUGUGACAAGGUGCGGGACCUGAUGCACGUGCACUCAUUCAGCUAUGACUUCCAUCUGCGCCUCGUGCACCAGCACGUGCUAGGCGCCCACCUGGUGCUGCGGCACGGCUACCACCUCACCACUUUCCUGCGACACUUCCUGGCCCACCACCCUGACGGACCCCACUUCGGCCGCAAUCACAUUUACCAAGGGACAUUGGAGCUCCCCACACCACUCAUUGCUGCCCACCAGCUGUACAACUACGUGGCUGACCAUGCCAGCUCUUACCACAUGAAGCCAUUGCGAAUGGCCCGGCCAGGGGGCCCAGAACACAAUGAGUAUGCCCUGGUGUCGGCAUGGCACAGCUCUGGCUCCUACCUGGACUCUGAGGGACUUCGCCACCAGGAUGACUUUGAUGUGUCUCUGCUUGUCUGUCACUGUGCUGCACCCUUUGAGGAGCAAGGAGAGGCUGAGCGGCACGUUCUGCGGCUACAGUUCUUCGUGGUGCUCACCAGCCAGCGAGAGCUCUUCCCCAGGCUCACUGCUGACAUGCGCCGCUUCCGGAAGCCACCCAGACUGCCCCCUGAGCCAGAGGCUCCUGGGAGUUCAGCUGGCAGCCCUGGGGAGGCCUCAGGGUUUGUUCUAGCACCUGGACCAGCUCCUCUGUUCCCACCACUGGCUGCAGAGGUGGGCAUGGCACGAGCACGGCUGGCCCAGCUGGUGCGGCUGGCUGGAGGGCACUGCCGUCGGGACACCCUUUGGAAGCGCCUCUUCUUGCUGGAGCCACCAGGGCCUGAUCGACUGCGGCUAGGGGGGCGCCUGGCCCUGGCAGAGCUGGAGGAACUCCUAGAAGCAGUCCAUGCCAAAUCCAUUGGGGACAUCGACCCCCAGCUGGACUGCUUCCUAUCCAUGACGGUCUCCUGGUACCAGAGCCUGAUCAAAGUUCUCCUAAGCCGCUUCCCCCAGAGCUGUCGCCAUUUCCAAAGCCCAGACUUGGGAACUCAGUACCUGGUUGUGCUGAAUCAGAAGUUCACUGACUGCUUUGUGCUAGUGUUUCUGGACUCCCACUUAGGAAAGACGUCUCUGACAGUGGUUUUCCGAGAGCCCUUCCCAGUACAGCCCCAGGACAGCGAGAGCCCCCCUGCCCAACUGGUCUCCACCUACCACCACCUGGAGUCUGUCAUCAACACAGCCUGUUUCACCCUCUGGACCCGCCUCCUCUGAGGGAGUGGACUGGACCACUGAAUGUCACUGUUCCUUGAAUCAUGGGCCUACAAGAUUGCCUGCCAGAGGCAGGACUGACCAGCCCUUCUGGGCCCCCAGGGCAAGCCAGACACUGAGUGACACCAAAGGCUUUGUAACUAUGUCUUGAGGGUCUGCUGCCCCAGCCUGGCAGCAGGAACCGCCCUCCCCAAACACCCACAGCCACUGACCCAUCCAGGACUCCAGAGGGUCAGGUCAACCCCGAGGACCCCUUGGGCCCUUCUGGGGUACUCCUUUCGGCUCCCCUGGUAAAGUCUCGGGAGUUCACACGGGGUGGCAAACACCCCCUAGAGCUCCUCUGCCUGAAUCCUGCCCCCUAGCCUUUGACCACUGUCAGCCACCUGUGUCCCUUGAGCCCUUGGGUCUUCACUUCCCACUUGGACAUGACUGCUGGACAUUCCCAUCGAGAUGACACCUGGGUUCCAAUCCCAGCUCUGCCUUUGAAGCACUUGUGGCCACCGUCAAGUCCCUUUGCUCUUGGACCCUGGGUUUCUCAUCCUUUAAUGAGAAGGGAGAGGGAGGCCUCGGCACCUCAGCCCACAAGGAGAAAACAGCCCCUGUCUGGAUCCCUCCAGAGCUCCCUUCCCCAGGGCCACAUCUCACCUUGAGGCUGAUACUCGCAGCCCACAAAGCCUUUGUAGCCUUCAUCUUCCAGCAGUUGAAACAGAUAGGGGAAAUUCAGCUCUCCAGGGCUGCUGGGCUCCCCUCGGCCUGGGACCUGUGCCACCUGCACAUGCCCUGGGGACAGAUGUGGACAAAUGUGGGGUCCAGGCUCCUGCCAGGGCCUGAAGGACAGACGUGGGGACUGAAAGGGUGGGAGGGCAAAGGAAGGUCCUCUCACCAACAAUGGGCAGGAACUCCUGGAUGUUUCCUGUCAGGUUCCCAUCCAUGAUCUGCCAGUGGAAUAUGUCCUAGGGAAGAGUAUACCACAGUCCGAGACCCCGCAGGCCCUGCCCUCCUUCCGAUCUGCGAAGUACCCCCUUCCACUUACCAUUUGUAAUUGGAGGUUGGGUCUUCCUACCUUCUGUAAGAUGGCUGCCGCUGUAAGAGAAGCCAGGGAGGGGACCGUGAGCCUCAACAGCACAGGAAUCAAAAGGGACAGAAGGAGACACAGGGCUGGGGUCGUACCCUGCUGGGGCGUGUCCAGGAAGUACUGGGGGUCAGUGAUGCGGGUGUUGAUGGGCUCCAGCAGUCCCACGAGGUCCUCCUAGCAGCAUGUCGGGUGCUGUGAAUAGAGCUCCUUCCCAAGUUUGUCCCCCAGCAGUCAGUCACUGGUCAAGGCCCUCACUUGUCCCUCUGACCUAGGCUGGCGGCCUCACGUGCUGUCCCCACUGUGCACCCCCUUCUCCGCACACCCACAGAGACAUGUACGUGUGUGUUUCCACCUUUCUCACCUGAGCCAAAACCCCAGCUGCAUGCCUCAGGUUCUCCAGAAAAACAGUCUCCAUCUCAGCCUUGACUGCUGUUCGAUCAGCCCCCUGGGGUACUCGGCCAGCCAUCAGGUGGAUCCUGUGGGGAAGAUGGACUGGAGGCCUUGCCUCCCUUGGCUCUCUCUGCACCUCUUCCAGGAUUUCCUGACUGUGCCAGCCCUCAUCCGUCUCCCCCGGUCCCCAGUCCAUGGCACCUGGGUCACGAUGCCCAGGUAUCCCAGCACUUUCAGAGACACUUCAGUGAUGGCCGAGGGGCAAGCCCUUUCCCAGACACCUCAGCGUCCACCCACCGCCUCCUGCCUCCAGUACUUUCCAAAACCUUUCCUUCCCUGGGUCCUUCUCCUCAACCUGUAACCUGCUAAAUUCUCACCUUUAAAAAUUGUCCUGACCUUUGCUUGCCCUUCUCAGGUAUUCCAUGCUGCUAUCUCUACUUCCUCUCCUCGCAUCUACUUCUUAGCCUCUUUCCAUCUGUUUUCUGCCCCCACCAUUGACCAGUGGUGAUCCCCUCUUGCGAGUUCCUUCUGAGCCUGUUUGGCCUCUGCAGGAUUUGACAUUUGAAUCAGCCCCACUUUGAGCCGUCCACCUCCUCCCAUCAUCCCCUGAUCUUAUCAGCCACAUCCAGCUCCAAGCAGACAUUCCAGGCCUCCCCAUCCCAACAGGCUACAUACAUGUCCAGCCUCAGGAACACUGCCAAAUACACCAGGCCCCCUCUUUGCCACAGCACCCUUGCAAGGAACACUCAACCUCCUGCCCAUCAAGCAAUGCCCACUCCUUGAAGACAGUCCAAGCAUCACUACCUGUAAGCAGCUUUCUCUGAUCCAGACAGGGUUAGAUGCCUACCCUGCUCCCACAGCUUCCUGGAAUAGGCCUGUCCUCAAAUGGAUCACUGUAUAUAUUUACUCUCCUAUCUCCCUAGGCAGACUGAGCUCCCAGCAUGGGGUAAGCAUGAAGGAGUGGCAAACAGACUGGCAUAAGACAGAUAAAAUACAAAAGGCAAUUUACAAAGGACCAGGACCGCAGAGGCAGAGAUAAACCAGUGGGCUCAGACUUCUGAGCGUCUCAGAUCUGGCGUCCUCGACUCCCUGAACCUGCAGCAGGGUCAUGGGUCACAGAAGGGUGGGGGUGGGGUGGAGCGGGGUACCUGGGACAGCUCAGGGCUUUGGCGUACCGCACGGCCUGCUCCAGUCCCUCUCGGAAGGCCGCCUGUCUCCCGGGGACGGCCCCUAACCCCAUUUCCCCCUUCUCUUGGUCUCCUGCGGAGAGAACGGGCCUCAGCCACCGGCUCGGGCACUCCCCUGCCCGCGCCCCCCACCCCCACCACCAGCCCUCCCGGCCCGCGGCGCACCGGGGGGCGUGUUGAUCAGUACAAGCCGCAGCCCAGCUUCUCGCGCGGCGCGCGCCAGCGUCUCAGGCGGCUCCGCGUACGGCCAGGCCACCUCGACGGCCUCGAAGCCCGAGCUGCCCGCGGCCCGCACCCGCGCGGGGAGGCCGGGGAGCUCGGGGAAUAGCCAGGACAGAUUGGCGGAGAAGCGCAGCGGCGCCAUGCCUGGGGAGGCCGGGCCGGGCGGAGUCCGCGGGAUCCAAAGUUGGCGGGCGGAGGGCGGGGGGGCGGCGGCGGCGGCGGCGGGCGGAGGCUCUCCUUGCUGGCUCUGCGAACAAACGUGCACUGUUCGUGGUUAGAAAAGCGAAGUGCUGUAAAAACCCGGGCCUUCACGAAAAGCGCCUUCCCUUAGCGAGAGAGGGAUCGCUGGGAGAGGCGAAGGGGCGGAGCGAGGGCGGCCGGAAAAGGAGCAGGGCCCGCGGCGGGAGAAGGUGGGGAGGCCGGGCUCCAGGGCCUGAGAGCCGAACGCGGGGCAAGAGAGAGCUGCCCGAGGGCCCGGUUGCAAUGAUGGGACGCGCACUUUAAUACUGAGUCUUUCCUCUGAUUAUAAAAAUGCUGUCUGUUCGUUAAGCAACAUUUGAAAGCUGUAUGACCAAAUAAAGAAGCACUUUUAUACCGCCA